GAAAUCCGUUGUUCUCGGGGUACAAGUGGUGAAUUACAAGUGUUUUUCGUGAUUUUCUGGGAUGAAGUGGUGCAUUUGUGUUUAUUGAAGCCCAGGCAGGACUGGGAGAACGCGAUUUUCGAGAGGAAAGAGUGAUGAAUAUUUGGCGAUAAAUUCGAUUUCCUGGGGAAUGAAUCCAUCACCCGAGAGUCAUUGCUGUGGAAUCCAGUAUUUGGAGUUUUCCAAGGGGUGAUGAGACUGGGGAGACUGGACCAUAUGGCGUGCG